GAUGAACGCUGGCGGCGUGCCUAAUACAUGCAAGUCGAGCGACCAGACGAUGAGCUUGCUCCUCUGACGUUAGCGGCUGACGGGUGGGUAACACAUGGAUCACAUACCUCUAAUUCUGGGAUAACUUCGGGAAACCGGUGCUAAUAAUGGAUAAUAUAUUGAACCGCAUGAUUCAAUAGUGAAAGACGGUUUUGCUGUCACUUAUAGCUGGAUCCGCGCCGCAUUAGCUAGUUGGUAAGGUAACGGCUUACCAAGGCUACGAUGCGUAGCCGACCUGAGAGGGUGAUCGGCCACACUGGAACUGAGACACGGUCCAGACUCCUACGGGAGGCAGCAGUAGGGAAUCUUCCGCAAUGGGCGAAAGCUUGACGGAGCAACGCCGCGUGAGUGAUGAAGGUCUUCGGAUCGUAAAACUCUGUUAUUAGGGAAGAACAAAUGUGUAAGUAACUAUGCACGUCUUGACGGUACCUAAUCAGAAAGCCACGGCUAACUACGUG
rnacentral:rRNA from 1 species